rnacentral:rRNA from 1 species
UACACUCCUACGGGAGGCAGCAGUGGGGAAUUUUGGACAAUGGGCGAAAGCCUGAUCCAGCAAUGCCGCGUGAGUGAAGAAGGCCUUCGGGUUGUAAAGCUCUUUUGUCAGGGAAGAAACGGUGAGAGCUAAUAUCUCUUGCUAAUGACGGUACCUGAAGAAUAAGCACCGGCUAACUACGUGCCAGCAGCCGCGGUAAUACGUAGGGUGCAAGCGUUAAUCGGAAUUACUGGGCGUAAAGCGUGCGCAGGCGGUUUUGUAAGUCUGAUGUGAAAUCCCCGGGCUCAACCUGGGAAUUGCAUUGGAGACUGCAAGGCUAGAAUCUGGCAGAGGGGGGUAGAAUUCCACGUGUAGCAGUGAAAUGCGUAGAUAUGUGGAGGAACACCGAUGGCGAAGGCAGCCCCCUGGGUCAAGAUUGACGCUCAUGCACGAAAGCGUGGGGAGCAAACAGGAUUAGAAACCCGAGUAGUCCCAUGA